rnacentral:rRNA from 1 species
GGAUUCACGGGGCUUAAAGGGCGCGUAGGCGGGCAAGCGAGUCCGGGGUGAAAUCUGUCGGCUUAACCGGAAAAGGGCCUUGGAUACCGCUUGUCUAGAGGGAGGUAGGGGCAGGCGGAACUUCCGGUGGAGCGGUGAAAUGCGUUGAUAUCGGAAGGAACGCCGGUGGCGAAAGCGGCCUGCUGGAUCUCAUCUGACGCUGAGGCGCGAAAGCCAGGGGAGCAAGCAGG